ensembl:lncRNA
UUUUUUUCGAAAAUAACAAUAACAACAUGUUGUAGGCCUACAGCUGAAAACCUUUUGAUUACGUCCAUCGUCCAAACUGGAAUGUAGACUAUUUUCGUCUCGAAUGCUUUUGCGCGCCUAUCGUCUGAAUGAAUCUAUCCACCCUGGGCCUGUAUUGAAUUAAAACUGAAUUGAAGAGGUGGACUGCAUUUGCGAUCAGCGCCAAUGGACCCGUUGGAUUUUUUGACAGAUAAGCAGUUACUGCAGUAUUUCCGCUGUAGUAGAACAGAAAUGUCGUGCAUGGAGCAACCACACACCUUUCUUAACCAGCUCAGAGACCACCACUUCAUUCCAGAGAAAAUGCACACGCAGGGACAUGGAGACUAGUCUGGAUCGAGGGAAAGAGGAAAGGAGUGCUCAGGACCUCAGACUGGGGCAAAGGUU